rnacentral:rRNA from 2 species
CCUGCCUAUAAGACUGGGAUAACUUCGGGAAACCGGAGCUAAUACCGGAUACGUUCUUUUCUCGCAUGAGAGAAGAUGGAAAGACGGUUUACGCUGUCACUUAUAGAUGGGCCCGCGGCGCAUUAGCUAGUUGGUGAGGUAAUGGCUCACCAAGGCGACGAUGCGUAGCCGACCUGAGAGGGUGAUCGGCCACACUGGGACUGAGACACGGCCCAGACUCCUACGGGAGGCAGCAGUAGGGAAUCUUCCGCAAUGGACGAAAGUCUGACGGAGCAACGCCGCGUGAACGAAGAAGGCCUUCGGGUCGUAAAGUUCUGUUGUUAGGGAAGAACAAGUACCAGAGUAACUGCUGGUACCUUGACGGUACCUAACCAGAAAGCCACGGCUAACUACGUGCCAGCAGCCGCGGUAAUACGUAGGUGGCAAGCGUUGUCCGGAAUUAUUGGGCGUAAAGCGCGCGCAGGUGGUUCCUUAAGUCUGAUGUGAAAGCCCACGGCUCAACCGUGGAGGGUCAUUGGAAACUGGGGAACUUGAGUGCAGAAGAGGAAAGUGGAAUUCCAAGUGUAGCGGUGAAAUGCGUAGAGAUUUGGGAGGGAACACCAGUGGCGAAUGCGACUUUUCUGGUCUGUAACUGACACUGAGGCGCGAAAGCGUGGAGAAGCAACAGGAUUAGAUACGCUGGUAGUCCACGCCGUAAACGAUGAGUGCUAAGUGUUAGGAGGGUUUCCGC